GGAAGGAUCAUUACUGAAUCGCUAAAGAGAAAGAUUGAUGCUGACUCUUUCAAAGGAGUAUUUGUGCACGUCUUUCUUGACCCACAUACACAUUUGUGCACAUUUGUAGGCUGAGCAAUCGGUCUAUGUUUUUCUUUAAACACCUUGAUUGUUUGAAUAAAAUGAUGUUAUUUUGAUACAACUUUCAACAACGGAUCUCUUGGCUCUCGCAUCGAUGAAGAACGCAGCGAAAUGCGAUAAGUAAUGUGAAUUGCAGAAUUCAGUGAAUCAUCGAAUCUUUGAACGCACCUUGCGCUCCUUGGUAUUCCGAGGAGCAUGUCUGUUUGAGUGUCAUGAUAUUCUCAAAACUCACUACGUUUUGCGCUGUGAGAUUUUGGAUUUUGGAGUGUGCUGGAGAAAUUUGAAUAUUUUUCCAAGCUACUCUUGAAUGCAUUAGCAAUCUUCAUUCGGGAAGGAAAAAGGCUUCAUCUGGCUUGAUAAUGUUUUCUUAUGCCAUUUUUGAAGUUGAAUAAAGUACUUUCUUAAUUGAUUGCUUAUAGACGAUUUUUUCUUAUUGACCUCAAAUCAGACAAGACUACCCGCUGAACUUAAGCAUAUCAAUAAGCGGAGGAAAAGAAACUAACAAGGAUUCCCCUAGUAACUGCGAGUGAAGCGGGAAGAGCUCAAAUUUAAAAUCUGGUGGUUUUAACAGCCAUCCGAGUUGUAAUCUAGAGAAGUGCUUUCUUCGUUGGACCGUGUACAAGUCUCUUGGAAUAGAGCAUCAUAGAGGGUGAGAAUCCCGUCUUUGACACGGACUACCAAUGAUUUGUGAUGCGCUCUCAAAGAGUCGAGUUGUUUGGGAAUGCAGCUCAAAAUGGGUGGUAAAUUCCAUCUAAAGCUAAAUAUUGGCGAGAGACCGAUAGCGAACAAGUACCGUGAGGGAAAGAUGAAAAGAACUUUGGAAAGAGAGUUAAACAGUACGUGAAAUUGUUGAAAGGGAAACGCUUGAAGUCAGUCAUGUUAGUUAGGGAUCAACCUAACCUCGUGUUGGGUGCACUUCUCUAGCUUAACAGGUCAGCAUCAAUUUUGACUGUUGGAUAAAGGUUUUAGGAAUGUAGCAUCUUCAGAUGUGUUAUAGCCUUUGAUCAUAUACAAUGGUUGGGAUUGAGGAACUCAGCAUGCCUGAUGUCUCACAUUAAUCAUGCUUAGGAUGCUGGCAUAAUGGCUUUAAUCGACCCGUCUUGAAACACGGACCAAGGAGUCUAACAUGCCUGCAAGUGUUUGGGUGUAAAACCCAAGCGCGCAAUGAAAGUAAAAGUUGAGAUCCCUGUCACAGGGGAGCAUCGACGCCCGGACCAGACCUUUUGUGACGGAUCCGCGGUAGAGCAUGUAUGUUGGGACCCGAAAGAUGGUGAACUAUGCCUGAAUAGGGUGAAGCCAGAGGAAACUCUGGUGGAAGCUCGUAGCGAUUCUGACGUGCAAAUCGAUCGUCGAAUUUGGGUAUAGGGGCGAAAGACUAAUCGAACCAUCUAGUAGCUGGUUCCUGC
rnacentral:misc_RNA from 1 species